AGAGUUUGAUCCUGGCUCAGAUUGAACGCUGGCGGCAGGCUUAACACAUGCAAGUCGAGCGGAGAUGAGGUGCUUGCACCUUAUCUUAGCGGCGGACGGGUGAGUAAUGCUUAGGAAUCUGCCUAUUAGUGGGGGACAACAUUUCGAAAGGAAUGCUAAUACCGCAUACGCCCUACGGGGGAAAGCAGGGGAUCUUCGGACCUUGCGCUAAUAGAUGAGCCUAAGUCGGAUUAGCUAGUUGGUGGGGUAAAGGCCUACCAAGGCGACGAUCUGUAGCGGGUCUGAGAGGAUGAUCCGCCACACUGGGACUGAGACACGGCCCAGACUCCUACGGGAGGCAGCAGUGGGGAAUAUUGGACAAUGGGGGGAACCCUGAUCCAGCCAUGCCGCGUGUGUGAAGAAGGCCUUUUGGUUGUAAAGCACUUUAAGCGAGGAGGAGGCUACCGAGAUUAAUACUCUUGGAUAGUGGACGUUACUCGCAGAAUAAGCACCGGCUAACUCUGUGCCAGCAGCCGCGGUAAUAA
rnacentral:rRNA from 1 species